CUCCUCCUCGGUCACCGCCGUUUUCUUGAUAAACUCGAUGCAAUCAGCCACUGCUUCGCUGUGGUGAGGGUCCUUAGAUGGGUGGCAAUAAGAUCUAUUUACAGGUGAUCCCCCAUUACUAUUACUGGCUUUGGAGAGAGCCGACAACAUCAUUAAGCGAAAGACAGCCUCCCGGAAACGCUCAAGGAGAGUCAUCGGAGACAAACGGUGGUGAUUAUUCUUGAUGGUGGUGGUGUUGGUGGGUCUCAGCCUGGGGAUGCAGAGAUGGCUGCUCUUCAUUAUUCUCUGAGGGCUUUGUUUCUC
rnacentral:misc_RNA from 1 species